GCCCAGGGAGCUAAGGUCUCAGCCCGCUCGCUGACAAAAACCCCAGAAAGCCUGUUAAUAGGCUGAGGAGGGAAGGAUAGAUGUCCUAGAACCGAGGGGUGGAGAUUCGGGAGGCUGUGCGCAGGUGCGCAGGUGCGCAGGCGCGAGGCGGCACCAGCCUCCCACGCCUCAUUAGCAUCUUAAGCCUCCACCCCAGGCCCCGACGGUGAGCGUUACAAUGAGGAAAAAAGUAGGUGAACGGUCGGCGCCAAGGUCCACCAGGGCACAAUCUGGUUUCGCCCGGUUUCUUCUGGCAGACAUCCUGCUUCAGCAUCCCUGGAGACGUGCUCACAAACGGGUAGCUCCGCCUUGUCUUCUGGGUGACCCGCUGGGAGCACCGGGCUUGGCGGUGAGGGCAGGGGUGGGGUACCAGACACAGCCCCUGUGCUUGCUAGCUCAAUUCCCCUGAGAGAUUUUACUCUCCUUAUUUCUGAGGAGGAGGGGCUGAAGGUCUCCUCUUCUGAAACUGCUUCCUGCGGAGCCGGGGCGUUGUCCCUGUCCUGCCUGGAGGAGUAAAAAUCUCGAUGACUGCUCUACUGAUCUAUAGGGUCCUUGUUCUUCUUGGGACUGGAUAGGUGGGUCCCUUGUGCCACCAUCAGUCUGACAGGAAACUGCUGUCUAGAAGACACAAACUUAACCAGAUUAAAGAGGCAAGGUCUGAAUAUUAACAAAAGAAUUAUUGGCACAAGCCAACCUAGGAAAGGAAGGUAUCCUGUGAUGUUAGGAGUCCUGAAGAGUUUAGGGAUUGUGAUUAUGGAACCCAUGCAACCAUCUGGUUUGUCUGUAAAUCUCCUGAAUAUUUAGUUCAACUUCUCCAGAGAUGCUGAUGUAUGUACAGCAGGUGUUGUUGACCACUGCACAGACACCCCCUUGUUCAGCCCGAAGAUAAUCUAGAGCUAACCGAUUGUCAAGUAUGUCAUUAGCCAAGGAAUCCAGGGACUCCUGGAGGCCCUCUAAGGCAUCACUAGCGUUUGAGGCCAGGUUUUCAAUGACCUGGGUAAGGUUUUUUAAGGUUGUUUCAUGAUAGGCAAACUCUCCCCAAGGGGCAGCCAAUCCCAUGGCUUCUUCAGUUGCUCCCAAGAUUAAUCUGAGUGCUCUCGUAUGUCUGGUUUGAGAAGUGACAUUAUAUAUAGUGGCGCCUAAUCCUUUAGGGCCCAAUCGUCCCAAAGUGCAUUCUCCCCGGAAGUGAACAUUAUCUAAACACGAAUAGGCCACUGCCUGAGGAGGCCAAGAGAAAGAGGAAUUGGGGCUCCCUUCAUAGGGUAGUUUAUUUUGUGGUGGACCGCAGAGAAACAGAUACCCAGGGGGAGCACAUGCUUGGUGGGGUGAAGAGGAAUUAAACCAGCUUCGUAAAUGGGGACCCCAAUUAGGUGCAGUUUUGCAUCUGGGCGACAGGGGCCCUCCAUCCAGUGGCCCCCCACCUAGUUCUGAGUCCUCUUCUAUUCCCUCCUGGCUAUCAAAAGCAGAUGGGGUUUGGUAGGUGAGCCUCCAGGAAGGGGUUGCUGUUCCUUUCCAGUAUGUACAGGAGAAGUUAGGUUGGUCGUCUGGAGAGAGUAGAGACGAGUCUACACACCAGUGGGUCUUGUUGGGGGUACAUGUAGAGCUUGCAGAGGAGAAUGACAUAGGAUAAAUGGAGGGCAAGCUGCCCACAUUGGUGAGGCAGGCGUUUGUCCGGCAGGGACAACAGGGCUGUCCCUGUUUUUUACAGAGAAGAGGCCGCUUAACCUGGAGACCAGUUUGAUUCCAAGAGUCUGUAAGCCUGACACAUGGCAUAGCAUCACGAUCAUCGAGUUCUACCACUAGAAGUGGUAUGCUCCUAACAGACCCAGAAGUCAAGGUGAGAGUAAUAUCCUCAUUUAUAGGUACAAACUGGAGCUUAGGAAUCCCAUCUUGUGGGCGUGGAUGACAGAUCCAACAAUUGGAGAGAUUAUUUCCAGAGGCCACGAUGCUAGAAAAAUUGACAAUUGAGUUUUCUCUCCAGGUUGCCCCCACUUUGCUAUUUUCUUCCCAACUCAUUCCCAGGAGAAGGGCCAAGAGGAGGGUCCACUUCAUCCAUCCCAUAAUGAUGGGAUUGGUUUUGAUCUUCUAGACCCCGUAAGGGCAGAAUGGGUCUUUCCCAGGGAGGGGAGGUGACCGGAAACAGUACUCACAGAGAAGGAAAAGUAAAACAAAGGCAACAAAAAGCAAAGUUGGCAAACCAAAGCACCAAGGUAUUAUCACUUAUCUGAUUAUGAGGGUCGCUUUUCAAAUAAGUACUUGAGAUCUUCAACAGGCUCACAUGAGUAAGAUGGUCCAGGCCUUUCAGGAAUUUCUGAGGCUGUCCAGGAGAAAAAGGUAUCAGCCUGGAAAGAUAUACGCAGCUAGGAAUUCCUCGCAGCUUAACUGCUAUUGGGGUGGCUAAAAUCACCCAAUAAAGGCCUUUUCACUUGGGUGGCAACUGAUCUUCCGGGGAGUCCUCCUUCCAGGGUUUUAAGGAGGAUCAGAUCCCCUGGAUUAACUGCAGUGGUGGUGGUUGGAGGGGUUCUCUUCUAAAUUGCCUCUAGGGGGGUGCUGGUGGUAUGUGAUUAGCAUAAUCCCUAAAGCUUUUUGCACCUAGCCCAAAUAAAAUGCUGCAAACUCUGGCUUAUUUUCCCAUCUAGUAAAAUACCAGAGUUGAGCAGGGGUCUCCCAUGUCAUUUCAAAUGGGUUGAGUCUUAGGUUAGUCUUAGGGGCAGUGGCAAUCCUGAGUAGUGCCAUAGGAAGCAAUUGGACCCAAGGUUCUUAAGUUUGUUGACAAAGUUUUGCUAAAGUCCCUUUCAGGGUAGGAUUCAUCUUUUCAUCCUUCUCUGAAGAAUGGAGGUGCCAGGGAGCAUACAAUUUAUAAUUUAUUCCCACAGCUGCCGAAAGGCUCUGGGUGAUUUUAGCUGUAAACAGAGGCUGUUAUCGCUUUGGAGAGACUUGAGAGCCCUAACCAGGGGAAUUCUCUUUUAGGAAGGAGUUCUUGACCUUGGUUGCCUUCCCAGACUAAGUGGGGAAGGCUUCUACCCAUUCAGUAAAAUUAUCAACAAACAUGAGGUGGUAUCUGUAGCCCACUCAUGGUGGAAGCUGGGUAAAGUCUACUCACUUGUCUUCUCCAGGAUAUGUUCCCCUGGUGUUGGACUGGUGUAAGAAGUGGGAAUCAAAUGGAUGGGUUUGAGAUGCAUAAAUUAUAGGCGAGGGUAACUUGUUUUACUUUAUUGUCUAAGUCCCUAUCCUGAAAAGACCCUUUGCACCAAGUCCCAAAGGAUGUCUCUUCCAUAAUGGGUGGCAUCAUGGAAAUGUUGGGCUUCUAGAAUGAGAAUUUUGUUCUCUCUCCUAAGCCACCCAGCUUUGUUCUGUAUAUCCCCAUGUCUCAGAUCUUCAUGUUCCAGCAGCAGGUAUUGAGGGCAGCUGGGAAACUGGUAAUAAUCUGAGCUGGCUCUUGUGCUCAGGUGGCCUAUUUAAACAGUUGAUUGGUCAGCCUUAAUACUUUCUUCAAUUACAGAGGUCUCAUCUUUCUGACAACUUUUACAAUAGACUCCAGCUACCUGAUUGAGAAGUUGCGCUAUCUCCAGGAGGGUGAAAAUUAGGGCUUUAUGUUUUAUUGAUAAAUUUGUAACUGUUAACAUUCCCCUUACUUUCCAGAAGAAAGACUUAUUAUUACGAAUCAGUAUAGAGACUUCAUCUUUUCCCUUCUCCCAACUGUAAGGCCCUAAUUUGGGCUAUCAGUUUAGUCUUUUGGGUGGGCAGAGCAUUGAGGUGGAAAAGCUCAAGCCUCUAUGACUCUACUUAGGCUCAUUAUGUAGCCUGGCUUCCAGAUGCCUCCUUCCGCAAAACUGCUCCUGUCCAUAACCGACACCAUAUUUGGAUGGUCAAGGGGUUUUUCUUGAAGGUCAGGUCUACUAGAAUAUGUCUGUUCCAUUGUCUCCACACACUGAUGCUGGGAACCUUCCUCUUCUACAGACGGGAGCAGGGGAGCAGGGUUUAGUUUGGCAUACGUUUAAAAUAACAUCUGGGGAAUCUAGCAAGAGGACCUGAUCCUUAGUUAACCUUUCUCUGGUCAGCCAGUGGUACUCUUUAAUUUCUAGUACUGUCUGAACCUGAUGGGUAGUCAGCAGUUGACCCAGGUCAGCUUAGGGGUCUCGCUCACUAAGAGAGCUGGGCUGCCACUGCUCACAAGCAGCUGGGCCAUGCCUGUGCAACUGGGUCUAGUUAUUUCGAAAAACAGGCUACCAGUCUCUGAUCAGGGUCCAGCUUUUAAGUCAGAACCCCCAAAGCAAUUCCCUGCCUCUCAGGGACAUCUAAGUAAAAGGCUUAUACAAACUUGGGCAGGGGCCCCACCCAAUCCAGUUUUCAAGGCUUUAAAAAGGCCCAGUGACAUCCGUGUUGUUGGGGUCCCUUUCUCCCCACUCAAGGCCUAUAAGGGGAGUUAGCAUCAGACCAUAAUUAGGGAACCAGAUGCAACUGAGCUCUGCCAUAACCUGAAAGCCACAGAGAGUUGCUUUCUGGUUUGGGAAACGGGCACAGUGCUGGUGGUCCUCUUGGGAUCCCCAGUCUGGUGUGAGGAUCAAGUCCAUAUAUUGGCCCUAUUGUUGUGAUAUGUGGGCUUUUGAUGGGGGAACCCUAUAUCCUCUCUUAACUAGAAAAUUUCAGGUUUUUAUAGUCUUAUGAUCUGAGGCCUGCUUAGCCAAAUUGGCUAUUAGCAAAUUCUCAACAUACUAUAAGAGGAUCCCAUCUCUCACUUUUAAUUCCCAUUUAACUGUCUUGCAUAGUACAUUUCCAAAUAGAUGGGGGCUGUCUCCAAAGCCCUAGGGAAGCACCGUCCAGGUGUACUAAGUAGCCCCUUAAGUACCAGGAGUUUUUCAUUCAAAGGCAAGUAAAUCUUGACCCUCCUCGUGAAGGAAUAUGCAGAAAAAGGCAUCCUUCAGGUCUGGCACAGUGGAAAACUGAGCAUCGCCUGGGACCUGGCUAAGCAGAUGAUUCAGGCUGGGUACUCUUUGGUGCAGGGGAACAAUUAUUUUAUUCACAGCCCUCAAAUCCAGUACAAAGAAUAUUCCCCACUGGGCUGCCUCACUGCGGGAUCUGGGGUAUCACAUGGGGAUUGACAAGGUUCAAUCAGCCCAUACUUGAGAAAUUGUGAAAUUAAUGACUGUGUUCCUCUUAAAGAUUUACUCUGUAUGGGAUCCUAUUAUUCCCAAGGACAGCCUGCUCUGGGUUUUAACUUUAUCUGAAUGGGGUAGACAUUUUUUGCCUCACCCAGGACAUGAGUGUCCCACACAGGUGGAGCUACUCGGUUUUGUGUUCUGAGCAAUAUUUGAGGGCUCAAAUCUGGGACCAUCCAGCAGUGCCUGUGGAUGAAUUUGGGUUUCUGUUCAAUUUUCAUCUUAGUACCAACCCUUUUCAAGGUAAAACAUGGCUCCAGAAUCAUUUAGCAGACCUCUCCCCACCAGUAGGGUCAUCAGAAAAGAAUGAGUAAUAACAUUUGAUCUGGCUUCACAAGCCAGGGGAAGAGUAAGCUGUCUUACCUUUGACUGUCCAUCUAUCCCAGUUACCGCACAGUCAUGGUUAGAGAGGGGCUGAUCAUCAACAGGGUGAGGCGGGACAGAGGAGGCGGCUCCAGUAUCCACAGGGAAUUUAGUUUUUCUAUCCACCAUGUCAAGGGUGACCCCAGGCUCCACUGGCAUGAUGGUGAUGGGCCUAGUGGGCGCUCAGGCCUCUUCUCUACAGUUGUGUGGCCCUGCUUCCAAGAGGCUGGCCAGGAGGAAGCCAGUCAGCUAGGGCAGCCAGCUGUCCCUUCCACUGACCUUUCUGUCUGCAGGAUGCACAUUUGUUCCAUCCAGGUGGCCUCUGCUCUGAUCAGAUGGCUCAGGCUAGAGUCUUCCAGGCCUCCUGGGAUCACCCUGAGGUGGCGGGCUGUACCAGGGCAGCCAAAUCUGCACCUUUUUGACUAACCUUUUGUCUUUAUUGGCCUCCUCUGCCCUGUCUCAAUUGUUCAAAACCUUGAAAGCCUCCUCCACCAAGGGUGACAGCAGGGUCUGAGAGCCUGACUCUAACUUUCAUAGAAUCCUAAUAUCCGAGGCAGAUGGGGUGAUAAAAUGCAUGGCCAAUAGAGACUUCCCCGCUGCUGACUCUGGUCUCCACUGGCAUAUUAUCAGAAGCUCUCUAUCACUGGUUUAUUUUUUUUUAAUUUAUUUAUUUAUGAUAGUCACACAGAGAGAGAGAGAGAGAGGCAGAGAGAGAAGCAGGCUCCAUGCACCGGGAGCCCGAUACGGGACUCGAUCCCGGGUCUCCAGGAUCGCGCCCUGAGCCAAAGGCAGGCGCCAAACCGCUGCGCCACCCAGGGAUCCCCACUAUCACUGGUUUAGAAAGACAGCUGGAUUCUCAUCCUCUUCCUGAGUCGUUUCCCUCACUUUGUCGUAAUUAACUGGUUUCACAAUGCACUUCAUCCCUUCAGAAAGGCAGGUAACAAAGUGCCUCAUCUGCACCUUGUCCGUUCUGCCCUCAUAAUCCCAUUGUGGGUCCUCGUCAGUGACAGCAUUUCCUUCUACCCAAAGCACUCUGUCCCCUGGGCUGGCAGGUAACAGACUGACAGCAUACUCACUAGCCUCCUAAAGAUCCUGUCUUUCUCAUCUAGGGUGCAACAGUAAGGACUAUGAUGACACCUUGUCAGGUGAGAAAGGAGGUUAGUUAAUUUAAUAAAUGCAUCUCUAAAUUUAGAGGGUUUUCUGGAAAAAUGACCAAACUUUUCUUUCCACAGCCCCAGGUCUGUGAGGGAGAAAGGAAUGGGAACUCUGGUCACUCCUCCCUCGGGGAUGGCACAAGAGUCCCUUAAUUUGGGGUCUUGGUAUUUCUCCCCACUUCUGAGAUCUUUUGCAAAACAAGUCCAAUUGCAAGAUUGUAUUAAAACUUAAUGAUCCAUUUUGGGGCCACAGUUCCUGGUCUCCUAAGUUAUG